UACGUAGGGGGCAAGCGUUGUCCGGAUUUAUUGGGCGUAAAGAGCGUGUAGGCGGUUUGGUAGGUCCGUUGUGAAAACUCGAGGCUCAACCUCGAGACGCCGAUGGAAACCAUCAGACUAGAGUCCGGAAGAGGAGAGUGGAAUUCCUGGUGUAGCGGUGAAAUGCGCAGAUAUCAGGAAGAACACCCGUGGCUAAGGCGGCUCUCUAGUACGGUACUGACGCUUAGACGCGAAAGCGUGGGGAGCGAACAGG
rnacentral:rRNA from 1 species